rnacentral:lncRNA from 1 species
CAGGCUCUCAGAGCACGACACCUGCCGUGGUUGUGGUUCCCGGGAGAGAAGUUGUCGGGAUUCAGAUGCAGGCUGUGCGGGUUACCCGGGCUGUCGAGACCAGAUGGGGGGAAGGCUUUAACCACAGGAGUGCGAUGCCUGCAGCUACAGUCUCC